GACGAACGCUGGCGGCGUGCUUAACACAUGCAAGUCGAACGGAAAGGCCCUGCUUUUGUGGGGUGCUCGAGUGGCGAACGGGUGAGUAACACGUGAGUAACCUGCCCUUGACUUUGGGAUAACUUCAGGAAACUGGGGCUAAUACCGGCUAGGAGCUCCUGCUGCAUGGUGGGGGUUGGAAAGUUUCGGCGGUUGGGGAUGGACUCGCGGCUUAUCAGCUUGUUGGUGGGGUAGUGGCUUACCAAGGCUUCGACGGGUAGCCGGCCUGAGAGGGUGACCGGCGACAUUGGGACUGAGAUACGGCCCAGACUCCUACGGGAGGCAGCAGUGGGGAAUAUUGCACAAUGGGGGGAAGCCUGAUGCAGCAACGCCGCGUGCGGGGUGACGGCCUUCGGGUUGUAAACCGCUUUCGCCUGUGACGAAGCGUGAGUGACGGUAAUGGGUAAAGAAGCACCGGCUAACUACGUG
rnacentral:rRNA from 1 species